AAAGUCGUAACAAGGUCUCCGUAGGUGAACCUGCGGAGGGAUCAUUACAGAGUUCGUGCCCGCAAGGGUAGAUCUCCCACCCGUGUCUUGUAACAUCGUUGCUUUGGGGGGCCCGCCCCCCAGAGACCAAACCCUGAAGCGAGUGUCGUCAGAGUACUAUACAAUAGUUAAAACUUUCAACAACGGAUCUCUUGGUUCUG
rnacentral:misc_RNA from 1 species